rnacentral:rRNA from 1 species
UACGUAGGGGGCAAGGCGUUGUCCGGAAUUAUUGGGCGUAAAGAGCGUGUAGGCGGUCCGGUAAGUCAGCUGUGAAAGUCAAGGGCUCAACCCUUGAAUGCCGGUUGAUACUGUCGGGCUAGAGUCCGGAAGAGGCGAGUGGAAUUCCCGGUGUAGCGGUGAAAUGCGCAGAUAUCGGGAGGAACACCAAUGGCGAAGGCAGCUCGCUGGGACGGUACUGACGCUGAGACGCGAAAGCGUGGGGAGCAAACAGG